UCCUCCCUCGGGCGGCGUGCUUAACACAUGCAAGUCGAACGAAGAGCGAUGGAAGCUUGCUUCUCUCAAUCUUAGUGGCGAACGGGUGAGUAACGCGUAAUCAACCUGCCCUUCAGAGGGGGACAACAGUUGGAAACGACUGCUAAUACCGCAUACGAUCCAAUCUCGGCAUCGGGACUGGAUGAAAGGUGGCCUCUAUUUAUAAGCUAUCACUGAAGGAGGGGAUUGCGUCUGAUUAGCUAGUUGGAGGGGUAACGGCCCACCAAGGCGAUGAUCAGUAGCCGGUCUGAGAGGAUGAACGGCCACAGUGGGACUGAGACACGGCCCAGACUCCUACGGGAGGCAGCAGUGGGGAAUCUUCCGCAAUGGACGAAAGUCUGACGGAGCAACGCCGCGUGAGUGAGGACGGCCUUCGGGUUGUAAAGCUCUGUUAAUCGGGACGAAUGGUUCUUGUGCGAAUAGUGCGAGGAUUUGACGGUACCGGAAUAGAAAGCCACGGCUAACUACGUG
rnacentral:rRNA from 1 species